UACGUAGGGUGCAAGCGUUGUCCGGAAUUAUUGGGCGUAAAGAGCUCGUAGGCGGUCUGUCGCGUCGGCUGUGAAAACUCGGGGCUCAACCCCGAGCCUGCAGUCGAUACGGGCAGACUAGAGUGCUGUAGGGGGAGACUGGAAUUCCCGGUGUAGCGGUGGAAUGCGCAGAUAUCAGGAGGAACACCGAUGGCGAAGGCAGGUCUCUGGACGGCAACUGACGCUGAGGCACGAAAGCGUGGGGAGCAAACAGG
rnacentral:rRNA from 1 species